GUCCAGGGAUGGAAAACGAACCCACAGUGUUCCGAUUAACGGCAGAUGCCAUGUCCACUAGGCUACCCUGGA
rnacentral:tRNA from 1 species